GACGUUAGCGGCGGACGGGUGAGUAACACGUGGGUAACCUACCUAUAAGACUGGGAUAACUUCGGGAAACCGGAGCUAAUACCGGAUAAUAUUUCUAACCGCAUGGUUCGAUAGUGAAAGAUGGUUUUGCUAUCACUUAUAGAUGGACCCGCGCCGUAUUAGCUAGUUGGUAAGGUAACGGCUUACCAAGGCGACGAUACGUAGCCGACCUGAGAGGGUGAUCGGCCACACUGGAACUGAGACACGGUCCAGACUCCUACGGGAGGCAGCAGUC
rnacentral:rRNA from 1 species